UGGGGAAUUUUGGACAAUGGGCGAAAGCCUGAUCCAGCCAUGCCGCGUGAGUGAAGAAGGCCUUCGGGUUGUAAAGCUCUUUUAGUCGGAAAGAAAGAGUUGCAAUGAAUAAUUGAGAUUUAUGACGGUACCGACAGAAAAAGCACCGGCUAACUACGUGCCAGCAGCAGCGGUAAUACGUAGGGUGCGAGCGUUAAUCGGAAUUACUGGGCGUAAAGGGUGCGCAGGCGGUCUUGCAAGUCAGAUGUGAAAGCCCCGGGCUUAACCUGGGAAUUGCUUUUGAAACUACAAGACUAGAGUGCAGCAGAGGUGAGUGGAAUUCCAUGUGUAGCAGUGAAAUGCGUAGAGAUGUGGAAGAACACCGAUGGCGAAGGCAGCUCCCUGGGUUGACACUGACGCUCAUGCACGAAAGCGUGGGGAGCAAACA
rnacentral:rRNA from 1 species